UUGAAUGCCUUGUAAAAGUCAUACAGCUAGUAAAAAAAACCUUGAGUUAAAUUCAGAUCAUCUUGACUUGCCAAGUCUGCCACUCUAUCCACUGUUUCACCUAGCAGGUAAGGUAUGAGAGAGCCAAAAAUUAGCAACCAGUGAGAUUCUGAGAUCUGUUCUUUUCAUAAACUGUAUACAGUUAGAAGGUUUCUUCUUUUUUUUUUUCUAGGUUUUUUGGCUCCUCUCUUUUUUCUCUUUUUUUUUCCCUCUGCCUUUUCUUUCCCUCCUCUCUUGCUUCUGUCGUGAACAUCUAGAGCUUGAGACUUAGAAUGACUGUCCUAUAUCUAGUGCUGAUCAGUGUUUCUCUUCUGUUGUAGGUUUUUGUGAAAACUGGAGUGUUUUGCUUCUCAGAGAUCUGAAUCUAUCCAGAAGGUUUCCUGAAGGGCUUCUGCUGCAGAACACUUAAUAAAAUCUCUUGACUUUGAUACUGGCAGGGCCUGUUGCGCCUUCCUCUAGUGACAUUCUUGGC